rnacentral:misc_RNA from 1 species
GGGGGGCGGGGCGCUGUUUGGUUGCGCGUCUUACCCGACGACGUGGCGUUGUCUCCUCGUACUUGUUAUUUGUUGCUCUUUGUUGUAUGCGGGCUUACCGGCAUUGCGUAAGCCAUUAGAACCCACGUACAUUGAGUGCAACAACAGCCUCAGCGAUACACCUACUCUCUCACAUACGUGCACGCGCGCACGUAUACGCGCGUGUUGCCAUAUCGACUGUCCCAAAUCUUGCGCAGGUUUCUUUGAUCAGGAGAAGAGUCACCUUCAUGUGGCGCGGCUUCAUAUACAUACACGUACGCAAACAAUUUUUUUUUUUUGGGGGGGCCUCGACUUUGCAUUACGCAUUUCGGCCAGUCCCCGCUCCCGGUCCCGCUUGCACUCGCUCUCUCUCUAACACACAUACACGUGUUGUUCGUUUCGUGUCGUUUACCGCCUUUCUACUACACACAUAUAUAUACAUAUAUAUGUAUGUGUGUAUUUUUUUUUUCGCGUGUGCUCGUUGUGCGUUUGGUUUAGUAUCGUUCUUUCAUCAGCGCUUUUUUUUUUGUGCAUUCGGGGGCGCCUCCUUUUCCCGGCUCAUUUGUGACGCACUUGUCCUUAUUUUUUCUUUCUCUUCAUUGCUUUUUUUUUUCAGCGAUUUUAGUCUCUCAGUGUCUCGUGUGCUGGUGGCGCACAGGUAGCAGCAGCAGCAGCGGCAGCGGAAUCCGUGUUUUCCAUCCGUGUUCUGUCGUCUCUUCGCCUUUAUCUCGGCUUAGGGUGCCUUGUGGUGCUGCGUCUCGCGCGCACCACCAGGCCCUCAUCUGCCUACCAAAACACACGCACACACGUCCAGCAUCACUACCCGCUUUCCUUUCUGCUGUCUUUGCCCUUCGCGCCCGCUUUGCUCAUCUUCGUACGCGACUCCUUCUCUUCCCCGUUCCACCCCUUCACAG